rnacentral:lncRNA from 1 species
CAGGGAGAAUGGAAAGAGCGGAAAGAGAGGAACGAGGCGCAUCGCCUCCCCCGAAUGAAAGGGUACCCGCGAAACGCAGCUGUCGAGACAGUGGAAACGCGUGCAGCCACGCCUGUGCACGCAAAGGUGUAUCCUCAGAAGCAAAUAUAUAGGUACGGAGGAGAAGGGCAUUCGAGGAUACGUGUUUCAACCCGUACCUGAAUGCACGCGCGCCUACGCAGACCCCGCAAAACACAUACAAAGUGUGUGUGGAUACAGAGGUAGUAAGCGCAACAGUUGUGCUACUCGGCGGCCUAUUAAACGGGGGCAAGGAGAUCCUCAUUUUCCGCGGAAACGUGGAGACUGACAAGUGGGAACGCAGACCGAAGCGAAAGGUCCGAGCAAGCGAGCGCCAGAGGCGUCUUUUCGGUGAAUUUCUUUGCUCAGAGAAAAGCCUUGAGAGGAAAUCCGCGAGAGCGAGAAAAGAGAGGAGAGGAGAGAAGAAGCACGCUCGGGGGGAAGACAAGAACGCCUGGAGAAAGGCAAGGCUGUUGAUAGCCUUUCUUACACUUUGGUUCCAUCAGCUCUAACCGAUGUGUUGCUUUCUCGGCCAACAGACGGAGAAUCUGUUCAACUUCCUCAGGGAGCGCGACUUCGUCUUUGUUUCUUUCUUCUCUUCGCCUCGCAUCCUGUGCGCCCCAACUUGAGGGACGGUCGACAGACUCUGCCCCAAUGCGGACCCCGGGGGCGACAGUGGACUGGUCAGAGGGAGGCGCCGUGGACGGGAAGGAAAGAGAAAAGUUUCUCUUCCCUUUCUUCGCAAAGACGCUCGCCAACACAUGCAGAGUCUGCGAGACCUCGAUGGGCCGUUCUGCAUUGUUCUGCACGCACAAGCAAGAGGAGAGGAAGAAGCGGCGGGACGAACUUGAAGAAGGCUGAGAGAAGAAAGACGCAGAGUGUGUGGGCUGACGGAGUGGAAAGAGGGGGGCAGACGAGCUGCAGAGCGAGAGGGAAGAAGAGACAGAGAACAGAGAUCACGAGCGCCGGAAAAACAGCAGAAAGUGACGCGAGACGAGCGGGAUGGAGACGGCACACGUGUGAGCAGGAAGAGACGAACAAGGCUUCUCUUAAACACAAAACCCGACAACGAAGAAGGUUCAAAGUGCGUUCUCUCUGCUUUCCCAACCGAGACGUUCAUGCGUUCCCUCUCCCUCUCCAUCUGAAAAAGAAACAGGCGCGCCUCCGCGAAGAUCGUCAAAAAAGAUUAACCGACACUCUGCUGAUUCUCCGGAAAGAAACGAAAACCCAAGGAAACGCCUGGACCUCUCGGAGAAGCGGAGGACAACCGACAUCCAGAAAGGUGUCGAGUACGUCUAAAAGCCAAGCUGCUUUCAUCUCCGCUCCCUCGCUUCUCCGUCUCUCGUCUCUCUUUGCCUUGAUCUUUGCUGUUCUCCUUCAUCUUUGAUUUUCUCCUUCAUCUUUGAUUUCCCAUUUUCGUCUUCGGUUUGGUCUGAUGCCUCCGAUUUGUCUCACCGCAGCGGCUGAGAGCGUCGUGAGGAAGAGCGAAGCAUCUCCCCGCGAGGCAUGGCGUAUCGCCUCUCGACAGAGUGCGGAAGUGAUAGUUCGUACAUUUCGGUCCUUCCCGUUCACUCUCUCUGUCCCGUGCUUUAAGAGGCAUUCCCUUUCUCUCGCGCUCUUCGCCCGUUUCUCUUGUCUCUGUAUUUCGCUCUUCUCCGCGAAGUCUCCUUCGCUCUCCACCGCCCUCCGUUCCCGGUGACUCCACGGCCGGGAGGCCUCUCCGCGAAACGCUGCGGAGACACCGAGGAAAGAGUCCUGAGACGCACGCGGAGAAUGACGAGAAGGAAGAGAAGAAGGCGACUGUCCGUUUUCUCGACCUCCGCGGAAAUCUCUUUCGCCGUCUCUCUUUCUCUCCUGAGGUUCUUUGCCCAGAACACGCGGCGGGGGCCAUCGCAUGCGUGCAGGUUGCCGAGCGAAGACGGCGCUCGUCAGGAGAGGCGCUCGCGUUGAGGAAGCAGCGAGUGCGUCUUCGCCAGUCUGUUUCGCCAGAGAAGACUCUUGUCUCCUCGCCAAAGAGAAGACAGAGAAGACGCGCGGACCCCCGGAGGAGGCGCUGGAUAGGCCAGGCGCGACCGCCCGCGCACCGAUCGUUUUUGCAGUCAACGGAGUCAUUUUCACCAGAGGAGACGAGGCAGUCUUACCCGAGGGCUCUUACCCUCACGAUUUCAGAAACGUCCGACCGCGCAGUCAUCUUCACACCUUCAGAAACUACAGAUGCAGGCGCCUAGAUCCAGGGCCACAGGAAACCCUUUGCCACCACAUACAAAUUCACAAUCCUAUGCAAACAUACCUACACGUAUAUGUUUAUAUACGUAUGUGUAUAUGUAUAUAUAUGUAUAUAUAUGUAUAUAUAUGUAUAUAUAUAUAUGGCGGGUGAUCUCGGCUCGGCGUGCCUGGACGUUGCCCCUCUCGACACAGCCGCAUUCGGUGGAUGCAGACCAAGAUGGGGAGAGAGGUAGCACGGGAGGUCCACGGGGCUAGGUUCCUGGGGAAUUGCCUGUCGGAUUUUUUCGAAGAAUCUUCUCCGACGAGCAGUUUUGGCUUUCCCCUUUUCACUGAGAAGACGCUCGUUUGAGUUGGAAUGGCGCAUCUGCGAAAAGUGUGCGAAUGCUUCGACUCCACGCGCGAGGCGCUGCGCCGACAAUCAGUCUGCACUCCCCGAAAAACGUUCUCCUCUGCGGAAAGACAAACCGUUGAGCGAAAAAUGAGGGAUGUGUGCCGGGUUUUCCUUAGAUGCAACGGGAAAUCGAAUUUUCUUCCAGAGCCAGAGACACAGUUCUGCAAAAACAGCCCCAAUGAGUGCCGAGGGGUGACUGCGUCGCCCGUCGAGAGCGCUGCCUGCAUGCGCCUUUCGCGACUUUCUUGGCUGUUUGUGGCCUAUACGCGACUCCUCUCACUUUUCUUUUCCAGUGAAACAGAAUUGCUGGGCUCCGCUCCUCAGCGAUUAAUUUCCCAUUGUUUGCGGGAGGAGGGAGAAGGAAGCGCGGAGUCCUCUGAGCCGGGCGAAUGGGGCGGAGAAAGCGCGGCCCAUUGCGCUGGGAUCUCGAGGGCCGGUUUGGUGUCUCCAUCGCCGAGGAGACAUGGCGUUGUUAAUUGUAAGGAACGAGAGACAGGGCGUUGUCAAGGAGAGACCCACCUUUGUUUUUUCAAGGGAAGGAGACGCUGUGAGGUGGAUGAAUGGGGAAAGGAGGACGCAUCUGGUGAGGCUGUCGACAACGCGGAAACCUGGACUUUCGAGAGUCGCGUAGAGGCGAGAGUUUUAAUCGGUCGCGAGACGCCCGACACCUUUCAAAAGACACGUGCAGAGAGGAUGGAAGCCCAUUUGGCAAGAAGGCGCAAAUUUUUUCAGUUGAAGGGACGCUGCAAAAAUAUACAGCGCCGUUCAGGGCGGAAAACGUACCCUCCGUCGCCAGUCGGCACAGUGGUAAGAUGACGAGCACUGCAAGACCGUCUCGAACGCCAGGACAUCUGCCACAAAAACCACGAAAAAGAAGCCUCUUUAUUGGAAGAUCGCUUGGAGAAUCGAUGCAUGUACAAGCGCGUGUAGAUGCACACCUAUGCAUAGCUAACUCGCUCUAUAUUUGAAUGGAGGUACGCCGGUGCGGGUCUAAAACUCGAGGCCGAGAGGGACUAGGCAAGAGUCUUCUUUUGGAGAGUGGACAGCGGAUCUGUGCGUGCAUUGCGGCGAAUCGCUUGCUUUUGACGUAGGGAAAUCGCACAGUGCUCACGGCGAACGAAACGUCUGUCUCUUUCCAGGAGACCAGUGGCUUGUCUACUCUCUCCUGCCCUUGCCAGGCA